AUUGAACGCUGGCGGCAGGCCUAACACAUGCAAGUCGAACGAGCGGCGGACGGGUGAGUAAUGUAUGGGGACUGCCCGAUAUAGGGGGAUAACUACUGGAAACGGUGGCUAAUACCGCAUACUAUCGGAUAACCCAUAUGGGAUUAGCUAGUAGGUGGGGUAAAGGCUCACCUAGGCGACGAUCUCUAGCUGGUCUGAGAGGAUGAUCAGCACCACUGGGACGGAGACACGGCCCAGACCCCUCCGGAGGCAGCAGUGGGGAAGAGUGCACAAUGGGCGCAAGCCUGACGCAGCCAUGCCGCGUGUCUGAAGAAGGCCUGAGGGUUGUAAAGUACUUUCAGCGGGGAGGCUGUAUCCGCAGAAGAAGCACCGGCUAACUCCGUGCCAGCAGCCGCGGUAAUAC
rnacentral:rRNA from 1 species